rnacentral:rRNA from 1 species
GAUGAACGCUAGCUACAGGCUUAACACAUGCAAGUCGAGGGACCGGCGCACUGGUGAGUUACGCGUAUCCAACCUGCCCAUAAGUAGGGUAUAACCCGCAGAAAUGCGGACCCAUCCCCUAUGCUUAUGGAUGGGGAUGCGUCUGAGUAGCUUGUUGGUGAGCUAACGGCUAACCAAGGCUUCGAUCGGUAGGGGUUCUGAGAGAGAGGCCCGCUACAUAGGAACUGAGACACGAUCCUAACUCCUACGGGGAGCAGAAGUGAGGAAUAUUGGUCAAUGGGCGAGAGCCUGAACCAGCCAAGUAGCGGGAAGGAUGACGGCCUAGGGGUUGUAACCUGCUUUUAUGCGGGGAUAGGUACCGCAUGAAUAAGGACCGGCUAAAUCCGUGCCAGCAGCCGCGGUAAUUC